CCUCCGAAGUUUCUCUCAGGAUAGCGGGCCGACAAAUUGUUGUUGUGUGCGGUAAAGCGAAUGAUUAGCGUAUUUGGGGCCAACUAGGCUUCGGACGAUUCUCAAACUUUAAAUGCGCACGGAUGUUGCUGCUUGGGUGAGCGGCAUCGUCAAAAACGUCGGCUUCGUGGGCCACUUUUGGUAAGCAGAACUGGCGAUACGGGAUGAACCGUAAGCAUGGUUAAGGCGCCAAAUUGUCCGCUUAUAGAUCCCAAAAAAGGCGUUGAUUCAUCGAGACAGCAGGACGGUGGCCAUGGAAGUCGGAAUCCGCUAAGGAGUGUGUAACAACUCACCUGCCGAAUGAAUUAGCCCUGAAAAUGGAUGGCGCUCAAGCGGGCAGCCGACACCAUGCCGUCUGGACAAAGUGGUGAAUUUCAGAUGAGUAGGAGGGCGUGGCGGUCGUAUCGAAGCGCGCGUGCAAACGCGCGUGGAACGGCCGCUAGUGCAGAUCUUGGUGGUAGUAGCAAAUAUUCAAGCGAGAUCCUUGAAGGGCGAAGCGGGGAAGGGUUCCACGCGAACAUUGAUUGAGCGUGGGUGAGUCGUUCCUAAGCCGCGUGGCAAUUGCUAAUUAACGGCGAAAGGGAAGCGGGUUGACAUUCCCGCACACGGAUGUGGAGGCGGUGACGCACUACUGGGACAAUAACGCUGGCGGUGGCGCUGGGCAGAGUUUUCUUUUCUGUUUGACCAAAACUCUUGCACGCUGUGUGGAAUCCGCUUGUCGGGAGAAACACGCGUGUACGGGCAGAGCGCCGGGGCUUUUCCGGCGUCCAGCUCGCCACCGACGGCCCUUGAAACAUUGUCUGCUGGCAGGAGAGCACUUGUGUGCUUUUUUGUGUGAAAAAUCCACGCCGUGACGUACCGAUAACCGCAUCAGGUCCCCAAGGUGAACAGCCUCUGCUCAGUAUGAACAAUGCAGGUAAGGGAAGUCGGCAAAUUGGACCCGUAACUUUGGGAAAAGGGUUGGCUCUAGUGCUGCGUGGGAUUGGUUGUUGCGCGGGGGGGCGUGUCCUUACUGGCGCACGCCGCGGCGGACUUCGGUCUGCUGCGGCUGUGCUAGUGAGCAUGCAGCUGCGCGUAGCGACGCCCACAGCAUGCAGCAAACUAGAACUGCAACGGGCAAAGGGAAUCCGACUGUUUAAUUAAAACAAAGCAUUGCGAGGGCCGUGGCCGGGUGUUUGACCC
rnacentral:rRNA from 1 species